UAAAAAGCUAGUUGUACGUGCCUCCUUAAAAAACUCUGUGAUGAACGGCCACCACUCCCCUUCCACGCGAAUCAAAGCAAAGAAAGUGGAUCGAUCAAAGAGGAGCAACAAUUCUGUCAACCUAAUGCCAGCCAGCAACGGGAUGGAAGUUUAACAAGCUGACUUUGUUAUUUGACCUGUCCCAGUGCAGCAGAGGAGCCAGUAAAGACCAGUUGUGCUGUGCCACCCGGACCUGAUGACAUUUUGAAGUCCAGAGCAUCCUGCCAUUCUGUAUGCACGUAAGAUCCUGACAAGAAAUUGUGCAACUUAUGCAAGAGUUGAAAAAACAACCAGCCUUAGUCACUGUUUUUACACUAUCCACAAUCACAAGAUAUAAGCGAUGAGCCUUAUAAUGUACAUAAUAUGCACAUUUGAUGU